ACGAACGCUGGCGGCGUGCUUAACACAUGCAAGUCGAACGGAAAGGCCCUGCUUUUGUGGGGUGCUCGAGUGGCGAACGGGUGAGUAACACGUGAGUAACCUGCCCUUGACUUUGGGAUAACUUCAGGAAACUGGGGCUAAUACCGGAUAGGAGCUCCUGCUGCAUGGUGGGGGUUGGAAAGUUUCGGCGGUUGGGGAUGGACUCGCGGCUUAUCAGCUUGUUGGUGGGGUAGUGGCUUACCAAGGCUUUGACGGGUAGCCGGCCUGAGAGGGUGACCGGCAGCAGUGGGAAGAAGAGAGGGACGGGAGGACGACGGGGGCAAGCAGGGGGGAGUCGGGCUCAAUGGGCGGGAGUCGGAUGCCGCAUCGCCGCGUGAGGGAUGAGGGCCGACGGGUGGGAAAAAGCAUGCACCGGUGAACAAGCUGGAGUGACGGGAAUGAGUAAAGAAGCACCGCAUAACUACGAG
rnacentral:rRNA from 1 species